rnacentral:rRNA from 1 species
GACGAACGCUGGCGGCGUGCCUAACACAUGCAAGUAGGACGCAGUUGCGAAUGGGUGAGUAACGCGUAGGUAACUGCCUAUUAGAGGGGGAUAACUAUUGGAAACGAUAGCUAAUACCGCAUACUAGUAGAUGGACCUGCGUUGUAUUAGCUAGUAGGUAGGGUAAUGGUCUACCUAGGCAAAGAUGCAUAGCCGAGCUGGGAGGGUGGUCGGCCACACUGGGACUUGGACAAGGCCCAGACUGCUACGGGAGGCAGCAAUAGGGGAUCUUCGGCAAUGGGGGGAACCCUGGCCGAGCAACGCCGCGUGGGUGAAGAAAGUUUUCGGAUCGUAAAGCUCUGUUGUUAAGGAAGCGGUACUUAACCAGAAAGGAACGGCUAACUUCGUGCCAGCAGCCGCGGUAAUUC